rnacentral:rRNA from 1 species
AUUAACCGGAUUAGAUACCCGGUAGUCCACGCCCUAAACGAUGUCAACUAGCUGUUGGGGCCUUCGGGCCUUGGUAGCGCAUCCAACGCGUGAAGUUGACCGCCUGGGGAGUACGGUCGCAAGAUUAAAACUCAAAGGAAUUGACGGGGACCCGCACAAGCGGUGGAUGAUGUGGAUUAAUUCGAUGCAACGCGAAAAACCUUACCUACCCUUGACAUGUCUGGAAUGCCGAAGAGAUUUGGCAGUGCUCGCAAGAGAACCGGAACACAGGUGCUGCAUGGCUGUCGUCAGCUCGUGUCGUGAGAUGUUGGGUUAAGUCCCGCAACGAGCGCAACCCUUGCCAUUAGUUGCUACGAAAGGGCACUCUAAUGAGACUGCCGGUGACAGACCGGAGGAAGGUGGGGAUGACGUCAAGUCCUCAUGGCCCUUAUGGGUAGGGCUUCACACGUCAUACAAUGGUCGGGACAGAGGGUCGCCAACCCGCGAGGGGGAGCCAAUCCCAGAAACCCGAUCGUAGUCCGGAUCGCAGUCUGCAACUCGACUGCGUGAAGUCGGAAUCGCUAGUAAUCGCGGAUCAGCAUGUCGCGGUGAAUACGUUCCCGGGUCUUGUACACACCGCCCGUCACACCAUGGGAGUGGGUUUUACCAGAAGUAGUUAGCCUAACCGCAAGGGGGGCGAUUACCACGGUAGGAUUCAUGACUGGGGUGAAGUCGUAACAAGGUAGCCAAU